UACAGAGGUCUCAAGCGUUGUUCGGAUUCAUUGGGCGUAAAGGGUGCGUAGGCGGCGCGGUAAGUCGGGUGUGAAAUCUUGGAGCUUAACUCCGAAACUGCAUUCGAUACUGCCGUGCUUGAGGACUGGAGAGGAGACUGGAAUUUACGGUGUAGCGGUGAAAUGCGUAGAUAUCAGGAGGAACACCGGUGGCGAAGGCGGGUCUCUGGGCCGAUACUGACGCUGAGGAGCGAAAGCGUGGGGAGCAAACAGG
rnacentral:rRNA from 1 species